rnacentral:rRNA from 1 species
CCAGCAGCCGCGGUAAGACGUAGGAUGCAAGCGUUAUCNGGAAUUAUUGGGCAUAAAGAGUUCGUAGGCGGUUUGUUAAGUUGGAUGUUAAUUUUUGAGCUCAACUUAAAAAAAGUAUCCAAAACUGGCAAACUGGAGACUGGUAGAGGUAAGUGGAAUUCUGCAUGUAGGGGUAAUAUCCGUAGAUAUGCAGAGGAACACCAAAAGCGAAGGCAGCUUGCUGGACCAGUUCUGACGCUCAAGAACGAAAGCGUGGGUAGCGAACGGGAUUAGAUACCCCGGUAGUCCACGCCCUAAACGAUGAACACUAGGUAUUGGAGGUCUCGACCCCUUCAGUGCCGACGCAAAUGCAAUAAGUGUUCCGCCUGGGUAGUACGAGCGCAAGCUUAAAACUCAAAGGAAUAGACGGGGACCCACACAAGCGGUGGAGCAUCUGGUUUAAUUCGACAAUAAGCGAGGAACCUUACCAAGGCUUGACAUCCCGAGAAGAUCGCCGAAAGGUGAUUGUGCCGUUAGGAACUCGGUGACAGGUGCUGCAUGGUUGUCGUCAGCUCGUGCCUUGAGGUGUUCGGUUAAGUCCGUGAACGAGCGCAACCCUUGUCUCAAGUUGCAUAUUUCUUGAGAGACUGCCGGUUUCAAAUCGGAGGAAGGUAAGGAUGACGUCAAAUCAGCAUGGCCCUUAUGUCUUGGGCGACACAGGUGCUACAAUGGCCGGUACAAUGGGCAGCGAAGGAGCAAUCUGGAGCAAAUCCUCAAAACCGGUCUAAGUUCGAAUUGAAGGCUGCAACUCGCCUUCAUGAAGUUGGAAUCGCUAG